rnacentral:rRNA from 1 species
AACGAACGCUGGCGGCAUGCCUAACACAUGCAAGUCGAACGAGACCUUCGGGUCUAGUGGCGCACGGGUGCGUAACGCGUGGGAAUCUGCCCUUGGGUUCGGAAUAACAGUUGGAAACGACUGCUAAUACCGGAUGAUGACGUAAGUCCAAAGAUUUAUCGCCCAGGGAUGAGCCCGCGUAGGAUUAGCUAGUUGGUGGGGUAAAGGCCUACCAAGGCGACGAUCCUUAGCUGGUCUGAGAGGAUGAUCAGCCACACUGGGACUGAGACACGGCCCAGACUCCUACGGGAGGCAGCAGUGGGGAAUAUUGGAGGAUGGGCGAAAGCCUGAUCCAGCAAUGCCGGGUGAGUGAUGAAGGCCUUAGGGUUGUAAAGCUCUUUUACCCGGGAUGAUAAUGACAGUACCGGGAGAAUAAGCCCCGGCUAACUCCGUG